rfam:Myotis lucifugus cont2.44929, whole genome shotgun sequence.
GGUGGGGAGGAGGGGAGUCCCUUAGCCCGGAUUGCGAGAGGGCGCAGGCCAAGCUGAGGGACCCCACCAGUGCACG